rnacentral:lncRNA from 1 species
AUAUGGAUUAUGUAGAGGCUCAGAAAAAUUACGGUAUAGAAAAAGAAAAUGAAGUAGAUGCGGUUAAUUUAGAAGAAGAUAAUGAAAAUAUUGCUGAGAUACCCGCAGUAGGAGAUGCUAACGUUAGAUCUGAAUCGGUUAAUCUCUCUCCUCGUCCUUCUAGUGCCCCAAGACCUCUUAAAAAAACUAGUGUUGCAUGACAAUUUUUUGAACGUCUAUCAGAUAUUGAGGUGCAAUGCAAUAUUUGUUAACAAAUAUAUAAGCAUAGAAGUGGAGGCAAGCAAGGGGGUACGGGUACGUUAAUG